rnacentral:rRNA from 1 species
GGCCUUUAUACGGUGAAACCGCGAAUGGCUCAUUAAAUCAGCUAUGGUUUAUUGGAUCAUACCCGUUAAAUGGAUAACUGUAAUAACUCUAGAGCUAAUACAUGCCUCGAUGCCCUGACCCUGUCCUCCUGUGGCUCGUUGUAGCUGCAGUCGAGGGUGGGGGAGGGGUGCACUUAUUAGAUCAGAAGCCAACCGGCGUUGCGCGUGUAUUCAUGUGCAAGGCUGAAGCACUUCUGGUGACUCUGGAUAAUUGUUACAGAUCGCAGUCGGCCUUGAGUCGGCGACGGGUCCUUCAAAUGUCUGCCCUAUCAACUUUCGAUGGUAGGUGACCUGCCUACCAUGGUGAUAACGGGUAACGGGGAAUCAGGGUUCGAUCCGGAGAGGAGCUAGAACCGGUUCG